rnacentral:tRNA from 1 species
GGGGAUUUAGCUCAGCGGUAGAGUGCUUGCCUAGCAAGCGAAAGGCCCUGGGUUCGGUCCCCAGUUCCG